rnacentral:RNase_P_RNA from 1 species
GAGGAAAGUCCGGGCUCCGUCAGGCAGGACGCCAGGUAACGCCUGGAGGGUGCGAGCCCAUGGAAAGUGCCACAGAAAAUAUACCGCCAGCUUUGCUGGUAAGGGUGAAAAGGUGCGGUAAGAGCGCACCGCGCGGGUGGUAACACGCCGCGGCAUGGUAAACCCCGUCCGGAGCAAGACCAAAUAGGGGAGCAUGGGGACCUUCGGGUCUCUACCGUACGCCUGAGCGGGCUCCCGGGUAGGUUGCUAGAGGCGACCGGUGACGGUUGUCCCAGAUGAAUGAUUGCCCACGACAGAACCCGGCUUA